CACGAUAAACACUUUUCUCCCAUUCGGUCAAUUGAACCUUAAAAUUCUCCCCCAAAAGAGGUGUUGGAUAUUUAAACUGGGUCACGGGUCGCUCCAUAUGGGCUGACCCUUCCCAUUUGAAAAGGAUAAGGAUAGAAGUUACGGAAUAACUUCCCUGAAGAGAAGUUACUGCCAAACGUGGUUAAUUUAAGAAAUGGGCAAAUCAGUUUUCUGCUAAUCUCUUGAACGCCCUUCUUAAGAAAAAGAAAACCAACUCUCUGUUCUUCUUCUUCUUUCAAGAAGAAAACUUUUCUUCCGAAGGUUGUGCUAUGUUGACACAAUUCGAAAGGCAUUUAGUUCUUGAAAAUCAACUUCGUUUCCUAGUGAAUCGAAGUUCGACUUGGGGGAACUUUUUCGAUGGUGAGUUCAACGAUCUUCCGCUACGCUAGAAAGGUACAGACUUAGAGGACGACGCAUCUACUCAGUAGGACAUUGCACGUAUCAGUUGUUGGUGAGCCCCAUCUUCUUCGGGGGUAUUGUCAUUAUUUAUUUUUAUGAUAGUUAUACAGUUAAGGUAUGCUGGGGGCCUUAUCCUAGCAAUCAUGUUUAGCAGUUCAGACUCAUGUUAGAGGUUUCAUAGACUUGUCAGUUAUGUUAUGUCAGAUAUUCAGAGUCAUCUAGCCAUUUUGGCUCAUUAUUAUUAUUAUGUUUAUUCAGACUAUUCCACAUUAUGAUAUUAUGAUAUUUUCAGACUUA